rnacentral:misc_RNA from 1 species
GGAUCAGCUGAAACAACCCAAACAAGUUUGCGGAAUCAGAAUUUUCAGAAAGAAGUGCCCGAUUGUGCUAAUAGAACUGCUGACCUUUUAAAUGAAUCUGAUAUACCAGGGAAGCUCCCACCCAUGGGAGACAAUUCUUUGACAUCAUCCUGUUUGGAAAGCAAGAAUGUAAUAGGAUCUGCAGCUAAUGGUCACCCUUUAUCGGCUUUAGACCCACCAAACCAAG